rnacentral:rRNA from 1 species
AUGCAGUUUGGGUUCCCUGACCCUCACGUCCCCCGGUUUCCCGUGCCAGUACGCUAUCUUGGCAUGAGCUUCACGACCUUUGGUAACAGCAUCUUCAUCGCCACCAACCCACACUGUCCACAGACUCCCAUCCUCAUAUAUGAUACCGGGAUAGCGGGAAUUACAAUCGGGCCAAGCCUACCAUGUUCACUGCUUGGUGGCAUUGACAUCUUCGUGGCCACCGGUGAUAAGUUGUAUGCAUUGACAUCUCGCCAUGCCGGCGAGCAGCACUCUUUUGAGGCCAUGUCAUGGGCAGCCACGGGAAGCGAUGAGCUGUGGGAUCCACGGCCAGCCAUGGAUUGGUCCUGGAAAAGGGUGCCAUCGCCACCGCCAUUUGCCGGGGAUGAUAUAAUUUCCUCUUACGCACUGCACCCAGACGGGCACACCAUAUUCAUGUAUGCACACAACAGUCUUUAUCAACAUGUUCCAAAGGGUACCUUCUCAUUCGACACCAAGCGUUCUGAGUAG